rnacentral:rRNA from 1 species
GAUGAACGUUUGGCGGUGUGCCUAAUACAUGCAAGUCGAACGGAGACUGUAGCAAUACUGUCUUAGUGGCGAACGGGUGAGUAACGCGUUGGUGAUCUGCCUCGAAGUGUGGAAUAACCUCCCGAAAGGGAAGCUAAUACCGCAUAGUCUCUCAAGGUUUAGAAAAUUGAGAGUAAAGGAUUUAUUCGCUUCGAGAGGAGCCUGCGUCCCAUCAGCUAGUUGGUAGGGUAACGGCCUACCAAGGCUAUGACGGGUAGGGGACCUGAGAGGGUGGCCCCCCACAAUGGAACUGAAACACGGUCCAUACACCUACGGGUGGCAGCAGUAGGGAAUAUUAGAAAUGGGCGGAAGCCUGAUCUAGCAACACCGCGUGUGCGAUGAAGGCCUUCGGGUCGUAAAGCACUUUUUGGAGGGAAUAGGAAGGAAGGUACCUCCAGAAUAAGUCUCGGCUAACUACGUGCCGGCAGCCGCGGUAAUACGUCUACUG